rnacentral:tRNA from 1 species
GCCCUCGUAGCUCAACCGGAGAGAGCGACGGACUUCUAAUCCGUAGGUUGCAGGUUCGACUCCUGCCGGGGGCGCCA